rnacentral:lncRNA from 1 species
GCAACAUUUACAUUUUCAGCGGUCCAACACAUGCUUUAUUUUGCACUGUAAACUAACCUUUUUAUUGCAACAGGUUCCUUUUAAAUGAUCCAGUGUAAUAACUACUGCUUGUGUCUUCUAUGUCUCACAUUAUGUGUUAUUUUAAAUUGUGGUAUAUAGCCUGAAUCAGACAUCAUGGACAAAAGGUUUUUACCUGUGUUACUAAGGGCUCUUGGAGACUGACCGGUCUAAAGGUUUGCCAUGCCUUUAAAACAUGGUAUAGUAUAAAUUUUUUAAGUCUCUGAGAGUUCUGAAAGAUUCAGGUGAAACCAUGUCUGUUUAAUCUGGUCCAGAUGUUUGCAAAAAAAAUUUCUGUAAGAUUUAAGUUGAUGCAGCAUCAUCUCAGAUUAGUUAAUGGAAGUUUUAUACAAAUAGUUGAGUUAUGAGCGCGCUAUAUAAAUGGAUCCUUUCUUUAAAUACAAUACUAUAGUAGAUUAAAGUAAUGAUGUUAAUUAAGAAAAUGUAUACAUAAGAAUCCCUAAAAUAAAUCUAAACUAAAAUUGGUAUACCUUCCAAUAAUAUGUUCUGAAUACAGCUGUUAACUGUUUAUUCUGUGUAAAUGGUGAUUGUGAUAAUGUGUGAAGUGUGCAGUUUAACUUGAAAGUGGUUUAAUUUAUAUGUUGCUGUAUUGUUUUAAAUUAUAUGUGAAUCAGUUUGUCACAGUCUAGUGAUACUGAUAAGAAUGACAGCCAAAUAACCUAGCAAAUAACUGUUUUAUUAGUUGUUGAAUACUAGCGUUUUGGCCAAGAAUAGUUGGAGAUUUGGAGGUGUUAGUUUAAGAUUGCUUUUAUAUUGUGUCUAUCUGUGUUUCCUAGGAAGGAGACAGAGUGUGUAGUUGUGUGCCCAUAAAUGUGAUUUCUGUAUUGGCAUAUCUGCUGGGUACCCAUUAUGUGUUUCUACAAAGAUAUUGUUUUAUGAGAUGACUAAUAUUACAUGGGAUGCUGAGUAUGAGUUAUAUGGUUUGAAAUGAAUUGGUGAUUAUGAGCUUAGUACUUCAGUAAGAUGUGCUAAAAUUUGGAACAAGGUGGAAGCUGAAAUGUUGGGAUUAUGGAAGAAUAGGUAGUCUAUAUUCACUGCUUUGGCAUAUAAGCAAGAUGCAAAGGAAGAGAUUGGUAAUAUGAUUUUUGUAAAGAAAUUUUACAAGUGUUGGAAGGAUGAGGCAGGUUUGAUGUCUGGAGAUGAUAUAGAUCUUUUUAAAAUACAGUCAUGCCUUGGUAAUAUGUUGCCACAGUAUUAUUUGCUUGUGAAACAAUUGAUUUCAGACUGGGCCAAUUUGGAUAGCUCAGAUUUUCUUACCAAGGUUAUAGAAAAGGAAAAUGCAGGUUGUUUUGAAUUAAGAAAAGAUUUAGGAAAGUAAGGUUGCUUAUUAUGCUCAGGGAUUGCAACACAGUCCACCUACACAGGCUGAGAGCGUGGAUGGGAUGGAGCACAUAAAGCCCGUGGAAGGGGUGGUCAAAGAGGGGCAAGGGGAUGGAGACAGGGAAAUCAGGGUUAUAGGGGUAACCAAGGAGGAAUAGAUAGGAACACUUGUUUCAACUGUGGCCAAUAUGGCCACUGGAGGAAUGAGUGUCCACACCCUAGGAAACCCCAGGAAACCCCAGACACCCCAACAACCCCACAAUUCUCAAAAUAUGCCCUGUAGGCAAGAACAACACCAGACCCACUCCCAACACCACUGGCCAGCAUAUCGCUUAGUUCAGGACUUUAGAGCCCUGAAUAGUUUAAUUGUGCCCAUUUCACCCAUUGUCCCUGAUGUGACAUCCCUCAUUACAGCCAUUCCACAUGAUGCCACUUGCUUCACUGUCAUUGAUUUAAGUAAUGCAUUUUUUUUUUCUAUACCUAUUGAUCAAGAGACACAGCUACUUAUGGUUUUUACUUUUUGAAGGCUGUCAGUUUACCUGGACACGCUUACCCAAGGCUAUGUGGAUUCCCCAGCUGUUUAUUCGUUGGUACUCCAACAUACUCUAACAAACAUGGACCACCGGUCAUGGUUCCGUCCUUUUUGCAAAAUGUUGAUGAUUUGUUGUUAUGUAGCCCUAGCUCUGAGGCAAGCACUGUGGAUACUGUCAGCAACUGUAGGUCACAAGGCUGUUAAACACAAAAUGCAAUUGUGUAAAUCAAAGGUUGAAUACUUAGGUUUUGUUCUGGCUUUAGGCACCAGACAAUUGAGUCCAAAACGUAUUGAGGUCAUUCAGAGGAUUCCUACACCCACUACUCGGAAGGAGUUGCUCACCUUCCUCGGCAUGAUUAAUUACUGCCACCAUGGAUCCGUGAAUGCUCCCAUUAUGAUUCAAUCCUAAGGGAGGCUGUACGUUCUGACAGCCCUGAAAAUGUCUGCUGGUCACCAGACAUGCUAGCUGCAUAUAUUGCCCUUACAGUUGUUAUUGUGCAAGCCCAGGCUUUAGGACUACCUGUGUAUUGUAAACCAUUUCAUUUGUAUGCUUGGGACAAUUGUAAAACCAUGGCCAGAGUCUGUGCACAAGAGCAAGGAGGCGGUAUGCGUCCCAUAGCAUUCUUUUCCAAAGUAGUUCGAGCUCCGGUACAGGGUAUGCCGGCGUGUCUCAGAGCAUUGAUAGCAUGUGCAAUGGCUGUUGAAACUGCUACUACUAUCACACUAGGGCAUCCUACAAUACUUUAUGCCAGUCACCAGGUCACUCAGCUGACAAAUCUCACCACACAACACAUGACAGCCCAGCGCUUCAGUGGUUAUGAGAUUCUUUUUUUUUUCUUUUUUUUAAUACCCAGAAUCUGUUUUUGGAUUAAAUAAGGUUUAGAGAAAGAUCAGAAUGAUCUGUUCUCUAAAGAGGGGAGAAUAGGCAUACUUGAAGAAUAGGCAUACUUGAAGCAAGCGGAUUUAUUUUCAUCAGUCAGGCACAUAGCAAGCACCAUUCAAUUCCUCAUGAAUUCAUUUUAUAUUAGGAAUCUCAGGCAGCAUGUACAGUCUUUUGUAAGAUCGUGUGAACGCUGCUCUUUUUACACACUUACAGAUUGAUUUUAUUCAUGUAUCCAAAAUUGGUAAGAAACAGCAAUACUUACUGGUCAUAGUUAAUCAGUUUAGUAGAUGGCAUGAGGCCUUUGUGAUAUCUAGGGAAGAUUCUAGUGAAGAUUAUUGUUACUGAAAUUAUUCCCAGGUAUGGCUGCCCUCUGCAGAUUGGCUCUGAUAAAGGCCCGGUUUUUGCAAGUGGGGUUGCCCAGGAACUUGCUAAAUUCUUGCAAGUUACCUGGCAGUUUCAUAUACCCUAUCAUCCACAGAAUACAGGGGUAGUUGAAAGGAUGAAUAGGACUAUUAAGGAAAAGCCCAGAAUUUACCCAGGAACAUGGGUAAAUUGGACUAGAUAUCUACCAGCUAUUUUAGCUGAGAUAAGAAUAUAUCCCCACAAGGUGAAUUGUUGAUAAAACCGAAUGGUAUGUAUGACAAUGUUUCUUCGCAGUUUUCCCUUACCUUCACAGGAACCUACUCAUUCAUACCAGCCCGGUGACAAGGUGUAUAUCCGUCAGCUGAACAGGACCAAGAAAGGAGGAUACCCUUUUGGACCACCUGCUACUGUGAUUGCUGUAACCAGAACCGCUGUCCUCACAGAUUCACAUGACAUCUGGAUUCACGCAUCCCGAGUGAAGCUGUGUCCAAAGAGGGGAACCAAGGAAGACAACACCACUCCUCGCUCGGAAACAGAAGAAUUUCUCCUCAGCGAAGCAUCAUGGCUUUUACACCAUAUCGUAGAUUGAGAGGAUCAUACGUACCUGAGACCAAGAUUAUGUUGUGUGCUAUGCUUUCUGGAGUUGUUAUACUCCCUCUGAUAUUGUUCCUUGAAUGCCAUUAUGAGUACAAGUCAAUGGCAAGUUCUGGAAAAAGACUCUGACAUGAUGAACAAUUCUUCAAUACCCCCAGCCCAAUUAGGCCUUAGCCCCUCAUCUAGCAUUCGUCACACACGCCCCCUCAAGAACCUUUCUCCACCACCUUUCUAUCAGCAUGCAAUAUGCAAUCAUUCAUUCAAUGAACGCAUUUGGAUGAAUUGGACAAAUAGUAACCCUUAUAAGUACCAGUUACCCAUAUGAAAUGUGUCUACAGCUAAUGAAACCGAUGCAUUAUGUUUGUUUGAAGGUUCACAGAAAAUUGUUAGAUCUUAUAACGCAGAAAUGUGCACAGUUAAGGUUGCAUAUCAAUGUAAAUAGACAGGCCUUAUUACUUUUAAUAAUGAUUAUAUAACUGGUAUCAUUAAUUGGAAAAGGGGACAAAUGUUAGUCAUUAUGAACGACACUACAAUUGAGAACUAUACACUACCUUAUAUUUUUACACCUUAUUACUGUCCUUCAUCCACUAUCAUAGAACCAAAAGUCAAACACGACACACACACACCUAUUCCGUCCACAUGUGUUAAUACAACUGCCUUCUUACAAGCUGUACAUGUGUCAUUAAAAAUCACUACUCCUGUUGUAACAUUAUGUAACACAGCAAACAAAAGGCAGAAAAGGGAAUGGUAUGACACACUGUUAGGAGGUGCUGGAACCACUAUGGGUAUACUAAAUAGUUAUAGAUAUGGAGACCCUCAAGAAUAAGUUAAACACAGCCAGCAUGCAUAUAGGGACUGGUUUUCAUGCUACUGCAAAUUGGGCUCCAACUGUUGUUAAAUCACAGGUUACAGGAUUGGAUUUAGAUAAAUCAAUGUAUAAUUAUUUAGAUAAUUUAACUGUUGCAACUAUGAAAUUCACUACAGGUUUAAGUAACUGGAGUACCAGUGCCAUCAGGUAUUUAUGGAUACAACAACAAGGAUUGGCAUUAGAAAACACACUAAUGAUUCCCAAACUAGAGAAGAUUAGAGGAAAGCGUAACCUCACAGAUAAUGAAUGGUUACUUCUAAAACCCCAAUCCAGUAAAUGCAAUGGAUGGUUAACUGGUAAUGUUUCACAUUUUUCACGCUCUUGCUAUUUUACAUUAUAUCAUACAUCAGCAAAGGAUGUUAAAUUAGCUUGUCAAUUUAACACAUUGCCAGUACCAGUUUAUGAUCUUUUUGCCAAGAAUUUAACCUGGUUGGCACCCACAUACACAGGGGACUAUAUUUUUCCCAAAGAUAACAUACACAGGUAGCCACACAUAUCCUAAAAGGAGAACUCCUUAAGGUGAGUUCACAAAUUCAGAAUGAUUUAGCCCAUAAUUGGUACAAUGCUUUACUGGUUGGUCCCCUACUGGAUCUCAGAUAAUGAAAUCAUUCUUAUAUCAUUUUGUUAUUAUAGUCCUGAUUUUAUUGUGUAUGAUUUUAUAUAACUGUCACCUUAGUUGUACAUUGAGGAAGAGAGUACAGAAAUGAAUCCAUAAUGCAGAACAGAAACAAUUAGAAAUUCUCCUCUCUGCCACUGGAGGGUAUCAACCCAUCUUUAAACUGGGCCUUAGGAAUUACCACAUGGGAAUCGAGGUGAAGAAAUUAAUGAAAGUCCCGCAGGGAGUGACUAGCACCCCUGAAAAUACCAUGUGGAAGUUUCUCUGUCCUGGUAAGAUUUUAUCGAUAAGAUGAGCAAUUGUUUUAUUGCUCAAAGAGGGGAAUGUAAGAAUAUUAAAUAGUUAACUUGUUUAUAUGUAUUUUAUGCUUUUAUAAGGUUUAUAACAUGAUUAUUGCUGACUGAAGGAAUAUUGAAUACUUAAAAGUCAAUGUACGACAUAAUAUGCUGACUGUGACAGACUAAGGUAUUUCUUCUAUAGGAUGUAAGACAAUGCUAAAUUUCAGGAUGUCUUGCCCAUUCCGAUUUUAAGGAUAUUCUUUUCCAGACGUAUGCAAAAGCUUAUCUUUCCAUUGUCAGAAUAACGUAAUACAAGGAAGUAAUAAAUCUUAUAGUCUGUACUGUAUUUGCAUAUACCAUGGCUAAUGUAAGCAAACUAUGUAUAAAAGCCAGCUCUGGAAUACACUCAUUUGAGAGUCUUGUAAAGCUGUUGUCCGUGUGUUAUUGCUUACAAUGAUCCUCCAUCAACGUUGAUUAUGGUGACCGAGGGAUCGAGAACCGAG